rnacentral:lncRNA from 1 species
CCGCAAAAGAUAUGGCUCUAGAAUGGGUAGUGCUAGGCUACACCGCCGGCGCUGAAGCCAUCAUGUUGCUCCUCCUCACAGUUCCAGGCCUCGACGGACUCCGCAAGGGCUUGAUCGCCGUCACACGUAACCUCCUCAAGCCCUUCAUGUCGGUGGUUCCUUUCUGCCUCUUCCUCCUCAUGGAUAUAUACUGGAAAUACGAGAUGCGUCCAACCUGUGACGCCGAUACCUGUACCCCUUCCGAAUAUCUCCGUCACCAGAAAUCCAUCAUGAAGAGCCAGCGCAACGCGCUUCUCAUCGCUGCCGCUCUUAUUUUGUACUGGCUUCUUUACUCUGUUACUAACCUUGUUGUUAAGAUCGAGCAGUUGAAUCAGCGAGUUGAGAGGCUUAAGAAUCGCGAUUGAGAUAAGUGCUGCGAAUUUUAGAUCUGUUGUAUUUGGGCUACUUCUUUUUCUUUUCUUUUUAAUAAUCUUUUUGUUUGAAUUUCAUCUCUGAUGUGUUUGGAUGAUUUGAGAGAUUUAUCUUGAAAGAAUUAUAUGUUGUUAUUAUUGGAUCUCUGUUAUUCAAUUUCGAUUUGAUUAAAAAAAAGUUGGGGUUUGGUUCAAGUUAUCGCUAUUGUUUCAAUAUUGACAACUGCUUUUGGAGUUGAAAUUUAGGAUGUAGUAUCCAAUUAGAACAAGUUGAUUAUCGUUUGGAACUUGGUUAUGCAAGGCAACAUGAUGAUCGAAUGGACAUAAUGGAAGCUGUGAUGUCCAGUGCCUCAAAUUGUAUACUUACCCUAUAACUUUCUACAUUGGUACAGCGCCAUAUCAUUCUCUAGUAAAACGUUUGAAAUAUGGAUUUGAAACUAGGGCAAUAAUUUUUCUAUACCUACUCGAUGCUCUAGAAGGACGAUUGCCUUACGGUAACCAUUCAUUCUUGAACGCCAAUUUAGCUUCAAUUCUUGAACGCCAAUUUAGCUUCAAUUCUUUACUGGUAAGCUCGUUAUCUUUGGAGUUUUAAGCACUUGGAAGUUUGUGGGCGAACUAUUUUUUUUUUUUCAAUUUUUUAGUUCAUUACUAUAUUUAUCUUAGGACCUUAGAUCAUCCCUUCAUGAAUCAUGAUGAGAUUUUAAUCAAAGAUUCUGUAGCUACUGACCCUGAUUGAACCUCAGUACUUCUAGGAAGGUGAGCUUACAGCUUGGGUGCUGAACCCUUUGGCCGAAGCUUUGAUUCCCUUUCUGAUGCCUCACUUAUUCUGGUAAAACUAUAAUUGAACUUAAAUUUGACAGUGAAGUUUGCGAGAACCUUGUGGAACACGGCAUAUGUUGGCAUGAAUUUCUCAACGAUUCUUUUCUGGGGGACCUUGGCUCCUCUUGUUCAUUUAAUAAGGUAGAAGGUGGCCAGUUUCAGAAGGACGUGACUUGGGCUUUGCGGAGACUGAAGUGGAAGUUGGAACUUCCAAUUCAAACUCCAAGCAAAGAACUCUUCCUUUUGGAAGUGAGAUUGAAGCACAUAUGUACACGGCCAUUGGAGGUCUCGACUUGAGUUUUGACAGUGUAGGGUUGGCUUAGAUGUAAAUUGUAAAUGAGUUAAAUUUUAUUGGGAUGCGCAGUUCUUUACGUUUAUAUAUUCAAAUUCUUCUCUUUGGUUAUUUUUUCAUUUCAAUUUCAAUUUUAAUUUCAAUUUCAACUUUGUAUUCAAAACUCUAGGGAUUGGCAAUAAGGGAUUGGCAAUAAGGUAAUCAGUGGAUGUGUAAUAUCUUAAUUUUGGGCCUAGUCGGAAUAGUGGUUUCAGGAUCAUAAAUUCGAGAUAGAAAUAAUUAUUUUAUAAUUAUUUUGAAAUCUAUGAUAUGAUUAUAUUAUUGUGUGAAAAUUUCAUGAAAAAAUUUUAUACAUAAAGUGAUUAAUUUAAAGUUAGGGACUAAAUUCAAUAAAUUGUAAAACUUGUGUUCUAAAAGCAUUUUACAUAAAAUUGAAUUAGAUUAUAGGGUAAAAUUUAAAGAAUAGUAAAAAAGGCAUUUUGGUCAUUUAGGGGUAAAAUGAAUUAAAAGAUAAAUUUUAAAACACAAAUGUGUCCAUCUUCAACCCCAUGGACGAAUAUAGCAAGGAGAAACCAUGGCUAGGGUUUUUCAAGCUUCCAAGCUCGAUUGUAAGUUCGUUCUAGCCUCGUUUUUAAUAUUUUUUACGUUUUUGGAGUCCCGAUAACUUAAUUUAGCUUAUGCUAGCAAUAAUUCAACCUAGGAUUCAUAAUUGGAAAAAUAUCCAUAGGUGAAAUUUGUGUAUUUUGGUGUUUUAUGAUAGAAUAUGAGGUUUUAAAUUUUGUUAAAUAACUUGUGCUACUCGGUUUUAAGUGAAAACGAGUAAAAAGGCUUAAUCGAUAAAAAUACCUAAUAGUCAUAAGUACAUGUUAGAGUGAGAAUUUGAUGUUGCUAUAGAAGUGAAAAACGAUUAGCAUGUUAUAGAACAUAAGAAAAUAGGCCGAAGUUUAAUUUACGAGCUUUGGGGAAAAAGUGUAAAUAUGCAAAAGUUUAGAGGCAAAAUUGUAAUUUUUCUAAAAUAUGAUUUUGGGUCAAUUUGAAUAAUGUGAGUCCUAAUUAGGCUAUAUUUUAAAUGAUAGAGCAAGGAAAACUGAAAUUCGGGCUAAAAUGGGGAAAAUACCAGGUUGUGGACGAAAUGGUAAAAGUAGCCAUUUUCGCAUAUGAGGUAAGUUCAUAUGUAAAUGUUGGUAACAUAGUUAUUAUUUUAAAUGUUUUAAUGUUAUUUAAAUGAUAUGAUAAUUAUUAUGAAUAUUAUACUUGUGAUAAUUGUUUGAUAAUAUGUCAAAUUAUGUGACAUACUUGGAAAAUGUGAAAUACUACCGAGUAUCGGUAUCGGCAUUCUGUAGAAGAUGGUUGAGACACAUGAUUGGGAAAAAGGUCCCGUUGAACCUUAGGAAUGGAUUAGGGUACAAGUGACAUGUCAUUAGGAUAUUUGGGCAUCCGAACUCGUUGAGUUGAGUCCGAGUUCGUGAGAUGUAACUAGGCAUUCGAGCCCGUUGAGUUGAGUCCGAGUUCACUUAUGGAUGUGAACGCUCGAGCUCGUUGAGUUGAGUCUAAGUUCGCUUAUGGGCGGGUUACAUGGUAGCUUGGCUACAUAUGUGGCACUUAUGUGCAAACUUUCCAUGUAUCUGAAUUAUAUUUCGAUGUGUUCAACGGGUAAAGUUCUACUCAAAUGGAGGAAUACUCGAGAUGAAAGGGACGUAUUGGUAAGUGUUGUGAAAUGGAUACUUUGAACAGGUAUGUACUUAACCCUCGGGUUGAAAACUCAAUAUAACAACAAUAUGGUAAGAUGAUAAAUGAAAAUAUGAUAUGAAUGUCUUGGUGAUGAUUAUGCAAAUGAUGUUUUAUGUUUGCUUAUAUGGUUAUGUUACUUGCUAUUUGCAUGUGAACUUACUAAGCAUUUAUGCUUACUCCCUCCUUUUUAUUCCUUGUAGUUUUGACAAGCCAGCUCGGAAUUCGGGAAUGGUCGGAGGCUCGCUCACACUAUCCGUAUACCAUCUUGGCAUAAUGGCUUGUAUAUUUUGGGUAUGGCAUGUAUAACAUUAUAAUCAUUUUGUAUAUAUGGUCUUAUGAUAUGGUUAUUGAGUGGUAUGGAAAUGCUUGAUAAUGAUUAGCCAUUGGAAUGGCUAAUCAUGAUCACAUUUGGUGUUAUGCAUGUGAAAUUGCUAGCUAAUCCAUGGAAACCAUGAAAUAGAUAAAAUUUACCAUAAAAUAGAUUUAGACAGCAAUAGUGACGUGAACUUGAAAAAUCACUAAAAAUAGUAAAAAUGGAAUUAAAUGAUAAAUAAGUUAUGGAAUUGAAGCUUGAUGAGUCUAUUUUCAUAUGGAAGAAACAAAACAGGUAUAUGAGUCAUAUUUUGUUAGAUAUUUAAGUUUUUGUGGAAUAGGGUCAGAGUGAUCUUUGUAUCCCCUGUUCUGACUUUAAAAAUUUACUAUAAAUUGUAAAAAAAACAAUUAGGAGUUUUAUUUUACAUAUAUGAAAUCCUUAUUGAAUUUAGUUUUAUAAGAAAUAAACGUCAGUCAUUGAAACUCUGUACAGGGAGAUAU